CUCUCUCCAGUAUGAAUUCUCAUAUGUACUUUUAGGUUUCCUUGUAGAUCAAAACUCCUUUCACACUGAAUGCAUGUGUAAGGCUUCUCCCCCAGCUGACGACAGAUAGUCAGACAAUAUUUCAGAAAUGUCAAGCAAUGUCGAACUGCACAGCCAAUCACAUCGAAGCGCUAUGACAUUUUCAGCCAAUCAAAAAGCGCAAUUCAUAACAUUCUCUUAACAUUCGUGACAUUUGACCAAUCAAAGAACGGGGAUGUCGACGGCACGUUUCCGCGUUUCACCGCUAGGUGGAGGGGUCAGCGCUUCUAGUCAGGUGUCAAUCAAGUUGCCGAACCAUGCCGAAGGUGUCCAAAAGAAUGAUAUAAUCCUCUGGGGAGGGGGGGGAUCCUCAAGUUCCAUGCCCUGUCCCCAGAGCCACUGCAGAUGUGUCCAGUCCCGCUCAGCCAUGCAGUAUUGUCUCACAGA
ensembl:lncRNA